rfam:Gossypium raimondii chromosome 10, whole genome shotgun sequence.
AUUCUGUGAUGAGGGCACUUCCACAAUAAUUCUCUGCACCUUUCCCAUGUCUCAAACAAGGACUCAUCAUCCAUUUGUUGGAAAGUAGUGAUCUCGUUCCUCAACUU